rnacentral:rRNA from 1 species
GUGGGGAAUCUUGCGCAAUGGGCGAAAGCCUGACGCAGCCAUGCCGCGUGAAUGAUGAAGGUCUUAGGAUUGUAAAAUUCUUUCACCGGGGACGAUAAUGACGGUACCCGGAGAAGAAGCUCCGGCUAACUUCGUACCAGCAGCCGCGGUAAUACGAAGGGGGCUAGCGUUGCUCGGAAUUACUGGGCGUAAAGGGCGCGUAGGCGGACAGCUUAGUCAGAGGUGAAAGCCCAGGGCUCAACCUUGGAAUUGCCUUUGAUACUGGCUGUCUUGAGUUUGGGAGAGGUGAGUGGAACUCCGAGUGUAGAGGUGAAAUUCGUAGAUAUUCGGAAGAACACCAGUGGCGAAGGCGACUCACUGGCCCAAUACUGACGCUGAGGCGCGAAAGCGUGGGGAGCAAACAGGAUUAGAUACCCGGGUAGUCC